UAUAUAUUAACAAUAAAAAGAAAGAAUUGAGAUAAUUAUUAUAUAAUCCUUUUAGUAAUAAUUAAAAGUUUAAAAUGAUAUAAACCACCAAUAAGAAUCAGGCGAAGUUUCAACUUGGACCAUUGUAUUUAUUCCAGAACCAAGAUUACACCAUUCAGUUGGAUCAAACCCUUGAAAAUUGGUUUCUGAAAAUACUUCCUCAUUCUGAAUAGAAGUAAUAUCUGUUUUAUUUAAAUUCUCACAUUGCUGUUUCCAAAAAUCAAUAUCUUUACAAGCAUUUAACAAAUCUUCUUGCAAGGACUUGAUUUGGGAUGUAUAUGCAACUGAAACAAGCUUAGAGCUAUUUUGUGAAUCUUGUAUUGUCUUAUGAAGAUUUUGAACAGCUUCUUGUGUAGCAUUUAGCUCCUCAUUUAAUGACUCAAUUCUUUGUUCUUGUGAUAUGUUAUUUAAACUUAGUUCUACAAAUGAUCGAAAAAUGAGUCUAUAAGCAUCCUCAAUAUCUCCAGAAGAUUCAAGCUUGGAUACAAAUUCAUCUCCAUCAUCCAAUAUUUGAGUUUCUUCUAAUGCAAUAUUAAUAAAUUCUUCAAAAAUGUAAUCCUCAGGAGACUUUGAUAUUUUUGAUGUAGAAUCACUAUUAACAACAGCUUUAUUACUAUCAAUUUUUGACUCAAACGGCCCU
rnacentral:antisense_RNA from 1 species